AUAGGCACAAAUACAAUUACGUAUCUAAACUAAAUGUAUACAUGCUAUGUAAAAGGAUAACCAGUUAUUUUACUGGCUAGUUAAAUUUAUUUUAUUGGCAGUAAAUAAUGAGUGAGUCAAACUAAUGACACUAGACACAUAUACGAAGAUGCAUCUAAAUGGAUAAAUGUUAAGUAAAGGGUAAAAAAAAUGUUAUAUAUGAUUUUUACAACCAUUUGCGCAAAUUACGGUCAAUAUAGAAAACUGUUAAAAAUGAAUUUUACAUCAUCUAUCCAAAAACUGACUACUAUGUUUUAAAUAUAGAAUGUGAAAGUUGAGUAUUUCAUCUGAAACAUUAAAAAAUAUGACAAUCUAGCUUGACCCACCCAUAUAGCUGCUCAGAGUUUUUUAAGAUAAAUGGCCACGAUACAAAAAAUGGAAUAUAACGAGAGAGGAACAGAGUAAGUGCGGUCCACGGAGUAUGAACCCGAUAAGAUGAAAACAUAAUCUCAACAAGAGGUUUUCACAGACUUCUGUGACCCCAACCUCCUCUCCAACAUACUCACAAAAGAUGAAGAAGAGCAUAUUUGACAGUCUAGAUGGAGAGAAGGUGUGUUGGACUAGAAGAAGGAACCCCUUUGAGAUCAUUGGUGAGAUGAUCUGCAAUAUAGUGAAAAUAAGAUGUUUAAUAUGGCUCGAGAAUUCGAUUACAUCUCACAUUACCUAAGCUCACUCGCAAGACCAUCCGCUUGUACUGAAAUUGCAUAGAACUUGGCCCGUUACAAAUAUAUGGAAACAUGAUCUCAACAAAAGGAUUUCACAGAUUUCUGUGACCUCAACCUCAUCUCCAACAUACUCACAAAAGAUGAAGAAGAGCAUAUUUGACAGUCUAGAUGGAGAGAAGGUGUGUUGGACAAGAACAAACCUCUUUGAGACCAUUGGUCGGAUGUUCUGCAAUAUAGUGAACAUAAGAUGUUUAAUAUGGAUUGAGAAUUCGAUUACAUACUCACAUUACCUAAGCUCACUCGCAAGACCAUCCGCUUGUACUGAAAUUGCAUAGAACUUGCCCCGUUACAAAUAUGGAAACAUAAUCUCAACAAAAGGAUUUCACUGAUUUCUGAGACCCCAACCUCCUCUCCAACAUACUCACAAAAGAUGAAGAAGAGCAUAAUUGACAGUCUAGAUGGAGAGAAGGUGUGUAGGACAAGAAGGAACCCCUUUGAGACCAUUGGUCGGAUGUUGUCCAAUAUAGUGAAAAUAAGAUGUUUAAUAUGGAUUAAGAAUUCGAUUACAUACUCACAUUACCUAAGCUCACUCGCAAGACCAUCCGCUUGUACUGAAAUUGCAUAGAACUUGCCCCGUUACAAAUAUGGAAACAUAAUCUCAACAAAAGGAUUUCACUGAUUUCUGUGACCCCAACCUCCUCUCCAACAUACUCACAAAAGAUGAAGAAGAGCAUAUUUGACAGUCUAGAUGGAGAGAAGGUGUGUUGGACAAGAACAAACCCCUUUAAGACUAUUGGUGGGGUGUUCUUGAAUAUAAGUGACCAUAAGAUUUUUGAUAUGGAUUGAGUUUUUGACUUUAUACUCACGUUACCAAAGCUUACUUGCAAUACCAUCCACCCACGCUAAAAUAGUGCAGUAUUUUGCACAUUACAGAGAUAUAAAUAAUCUCAACAAGAGGAUUUCACAGACUUCUGUGACCAUAACUUAUUCUCCAAGAUACUCACAAAAGAUGAUGAAGAGCAUAUUUGAUAGUCUAGAUGGAGAGAAGGUGUGUUGGACAAGAACAAACCCCUUUGAGACCAUUGGAGAGAAGAUCUCCAAUAUAUUGACUAUAAGAGUAUUGAUAUCGAUUGAGUUUUUGUCUUUAUACUCACGUUACCAAAGCUUAAUCGCAAUACAAUCUCCCCACACUAAAAUUGUGCAGUAUUUUGCACGUUACAGAGAUGUACACAAUCUCAACAAUAAGAUUUCACAGACUUCUGUGACCCUAACCUUCUUUCCAACAUACUCACAAAAGAUGAAGAAGAGCAUAUUUGACAGUCUAGAUGGAGAGAAGGUGUGUUGGACAAGAACAAACCUCUUUGAGACCAUUGGUCGGAUGUUCUGCAAUAUAGUGAACAUAAGAUGUUGAAUAUGGAUUGAGAAUUCGAUUACAUACUCACAUUACCUAAGCUCACUCGCAAGACCAUCCGCUUAUACUGAAAUUGCACAGAACUUGCCCCGUUACAAAUAUGGAAACACAAUCUCAACAAAAGGAUUUCACUGACUUCUGUGACCCCAACCUCCUCUCCAACAUACUCACAAAAGAUGAAGAAGAGCAUAUUUGACAGUCUAGAUGGAGAGAAGGUAUAAGACAGCAUAUAAGACAAGAAGAAGGAACCCCUUUGAGACCAUUGGUCGGAUGUUGUCCAAUAUAGUGAAAAUAAGAUGUUUAAUAUGGAUUAAGAAUUCGAUUACAUACUCACAUUACCUAAGCUCACUCGCAAGACCAUCCGCUUGAAUUGAAAUUGCAUAGAACUUGGCCCGUUACAAAUAUGGAAACAUAAUCUCAACAAAAGGAUUUCACUGAUUUCUGUGACCCCAACCUCCUCUCCAACAUACUCACAAAAGAUGAAGAAGAGCAUAUUUGACAGUCUAGAUGGAGAGAAGGUGUGUUGGACAAGAAGAAACCCCUUUAAGACUAUUGGUGGGGUGUUCUUGAAUAUAAGUGACCAUAAGAUUUUUGAUAUGGAUUGAGUUUUUGACUUUAUACUCACGUUACCAAAGCUUACUUGCAAUACCAUCCACCCACGCUAAAAUAGUGCAGUAUUUUGCACAUUACAGAGAUAUAAAUAAUCUCAACAAGAGGAUUUCACAGACUUCUGUGACCAUAACUUAUUCUCCAAGAUACUCACAAAAGAUGAUGAAGAGCAUAUUUGAUAGUCUAGAUGGAGAGAAGGUGUGUUGGACAAGAACAAACCCCUUUGAGACCAUUGGAGAGAAGAUCUCCAAUAUAGUGACUAUAAGAGUAUUGAUAUCGAUUGAGUUUUUGUCUUUAUACUCACGUUACCAAAGCUUAAUCGCAAUACAAUCUCCCCACACUAAAAUUGUGCAGUAUUUUGCACGUUACAGAGAUGUACACAAUCUCAACAAUAAGAUUUCACAGACUUCUGUGACCCUAACCUUCUUUCCAACAUACUCACAAAAGAUGAAGAAGAGCAUAUUUGACAGUCUAGAUGGAGAGAAGGUGUGUUGGACAAGAACAAACCUCUUUGAGACCAUUGGUCGGAUGUUCUGCAAUAUAGUGAACAUAAGAUGUUGAAUAUGGAUUGAGAAUUCGAUUACAUACUCACAUUACCUAAGCUCACUCGCAAGACCAUCCGCUUAUACUGAAAUUGCACAGAACUUGCCCCGUUACAAAUAUGGAAACACAAUCUCAACAAAAGGAUUUCACUGACUUCUGUGACCCCAACCUCCUCUCCAACAUACUCACAAAAGAUGAAGAAGAGCAUAUUUGACAGUCUAGAUGGAGAGAAGGUGUGUUGGACAAGAAGAAACCCCUUUGAGACUAUUGGUGGGAUGUUCUUGAAUAUAAAUGACCAUAAGAUUUUUGAUAUGGAUUGAGUUUUUGAUUUUAUACUCACGUUACCAAAGCUUACUUGCAAUACCAUCCACCCACGCUAAAAUUGUGCAGUAUUUUGCACAUUACAGAGAUAUAAAUAA
rnacentral:lncRNA from 1 species